AUCCAAAUAGCUCAGUUAGUAGAGCAUGACGCUCUUAAUCUCAGGGUUGUGGGUUCAAACCUCACGUUGGACA